rnacentral:tRNA from 1 species
GGGGAGAUGGCUCAGUGGUUAAGAGCACUGGCUGCUCUUCCAGAGGUCCUGAGUUCAAAUCCCAGCCACCAUA